rnacentral:ncRNA from 1 species
GGUCAAGCAAUGAAGCGCACACGGUGGAUGCCUAGGCAGCCAGAGGCGAUGAAAGACGUGGUAGCCUGCGAUAAGGUUCGGUGAGGUGGCAAACGACCUGUGACCCGGACAUCUCUGAAUGGGGAAACCCACUCAUCACAAGAUGAGUAUCUUGCGCUGAAUCCAUAGGCGUAAGAGGCGAACCAGGGGAACUGAAACAUCUAAGUACCCUGAGGAAAAGAAAUCAACCGAGAUUCCCCUAGUAGCGGCGAGCGAACGGGGACCAGCCCUUAAGCGUGUGAAAGAUUAGGCGAACAGACUGGGAAGUCUGGCCAUAGCGGGUGAUAGCCCCGUAGUCGAAAAUCUGAUCACGUGAAAUCGAGUAGGUCGGGGCACGAGAAACCUUGACUGAAGACGGGGGGACCAUCCUCCAAGGCUAAAUACUCCUGGCUGACCGAUAGUGAACCAGUACCGUGAGGGAAAGGCGAAAAGAACCCCGGAGAGGGGAGUGAAAUAGAUCCUGAAACCGUGUGCGUACAAGCAGUAGGAGCCCACUUGUUGGGUGACUGCGUACCUUUUGUAUAAUGGGUCAGCGACUUAUAUUCAGUGGCGAGGUUAACCGUAUAGGGGAGCCGUAGGGAAACCGAGUCUUAACUGGGCGACACAGUCGCUGGAUAUAGACCCGAAACCGAGCGAUCUAUCCAUGAGCAGGGUGAAGGUUGAGUAACAUCAACUGGAGGCCCGAACCAGGAUCUGUUGAAAAAGAUUUGGAUGACUUGUGGAUCGGAGUGAAAGGCUAAUCAAGCUCG